GAUCCUGGCUCAGGAUGAACGCUGGUCGGCGUGCUUAACACAUGCAAGUCGAACGAAGCAGUUUAUUAUGAUCCCUUCGGGGUGACGAUUUACUGACUGAGUGGCGGACGGGUGAGUAACGCGUGGGUAACCUGCCUUGUACAGGGGGACAACAGUUGGAAACGACUGCUAAUACCGCAUAAGCGCACAGCUUCGCAUGAAGCAGUGUGAAAAGUUUUUCGGUACAAGAUGGACCCGCGUCUGAUUAGCUAGUUGGUGAGGUAACGGCCCACCAAGGCGACGAUCAGUAGCCGACCUGAGAGGGUGACCGGCCACAUUGGGACUGAGACACGGCCCAAACUCCUACGGGAGGCAGCAGUGGGGAAUAUUGCACAAUGGGCGAAAGCCUGAUGCAGCGAACCGCCGCGUGAGCGAAGAAGUAUUUCGGUAUGUAAAGCUCUAUCAGCAGGGAAGAUAAUGACGGUACCUGACUAAGAAGCACCGGCUAAAUACGUGCCAGCCGCAGC
rnacentral:rRNA from 1 species